CUCUGCAUAUCUGAAAAAUCAGUUUUGAUAAUCUAUGUUAUUCAUUUUUUUUUAUUUUAAAUGCUGUCAUUAGUUUUUAUUUAUUUCCAACUUAUUAACAAAAUGAACUUGGUCUACAUUGUUUUGUUCACUUGAAUAAAACAACAUUUUUGUAUUGUACUCUGGGUUCUUGAAGACCACGCUGUCUUUUAACUUUAUUCUUUAUUUUCUGCAUAUACUGUUCUUUAUUCAUUUCUUUAUUCUUUGAGGCGGUUCUCCUGCCAUUCAGUGUUCCUAGUGCAAAGUCUGCAUUUCUGUGUCCUAUCUUUAGUUGGUUACUGCUUUAUAUUGUUGACCUCUAGGCUUUUGUGCACUUGCUUUUACUUCAACUGGUCAUACUUGUUUGAUUCAAUUCACCUGUGUCUUGUUUCUCCCAGCUGCGUCCUCUCUCCCUAAUCAACUUGCGCAAGUUCUUAAGCCUUCAGCUUUCCUCAGCUCUCUACUCUGUUGUUAUGUUUCAAGCUGUACACUUUGUUUGUCUACCUUAUGGCUUCCUGUGCGUUAGUUUUGGAACUUUUUUCUCCUCACUGUGGUUUUGCCGCACCCAUAUUUAAGCUUUGGAGUUUUCCGCCAACAGCACGGGGGUGGACCAGUGCGCAGGCGAAGAGGCGGGAGAACCACACAUCGCCAGUUAACUUUUAAGGUGUCAGUUCUAAGGAAUCCGACACUGACCCACUACCGAUCUCAUCGGGAUGCCACUCCUGCUACUCGGGUGGUCGUUCCUGUAAACCUAAAUGCCGCUGAAUUCAGGCAGGCACUACGGGACAAUAUUGCAGACAUACCUUUUCAGUUCGACCUAUGCAAAGUGAAUGGACAGUGGCUCAUUCUUCCUCUUGAAGAGGAGACGCCCCAAGGAAUUAGAGCAAGAAACCUAUUGGGUCGCUCCAAUCUUUAUAUCCGUCCAAAGAUUACAGAAGCCAAUGACAACUCAACUGGUGGAGAAGUGGUGCAGUCUGAAAUGGCAAUUGUGCUGCAUGACACAGAGACACCUGACCAUGGCAGGCACAAUGUACAGGAGCCAGAGGUUAUCAGUGGUCUGCAUGAAAACCAGACAGCUCAUUCUAGUAGGCAUGGUCUCCAGGAACCAGAGGUUAACAGGGAAGAGUUUUACAUCGACUCUGCCGAGUCAGAAGUAUCAGACCUGGAUGAGGCUGUCCUGGCUUCCCCUGAACAAAAUGAUUCACAUGACGAGAUGGACCUUGCUACUGUGUUAAAAGAUUUCCAGGAAACGCAUCUUGACACCAGCAAUUAUUGUACAGUGAUAGCCCGACGAAGGAAAAUCCUACAUAGUGCCUGCAUGGCACUUUCGAAGUCCUAUUUUUCCUGGCAUAAAUUGCCAAAUAUUGAAUUCGUUGGUGAAAUGGCCGAUGAUUAUGGAGGCCCAAGGCGGGAAUUUUUUCGCUUACUUAUGGUCGAAACUCAGAAUUCCCUAGGGAUUUUUGAGGGGAAGCCUGGCAGCCUGUUGUUCUGUUAUAGCCAGCAGUUGCUGUCAAGCAACAAGUGUUAUACGGCUGGUAAACUGAUUGCUUGGUCCAUAGCACACAAUGGGCCAGGGCCACGGUGUAUCAAUAGACACCUGUUCUGUUUGAUGUGUAGCCAGGGGUUAGGGUUUGGGUAAAGAAAGGGGUCCCAGAAGCAGCUGGGCCCCUGAUGCACUCUCACUCGAGUGGGUGGGCAUUAUUGCCCCCAAGUCAAAAAAUUACCCACGAAGGGUGGUAGUGGCCAUUUAUUUUGUCUAUUGAGCCCGUCGCGACGUUUCGGCGUUACUUCGCCUUCAUCAGGCUGGGCUCAAUGAGGGUAGGGACUGGUUUGUCCUCUAUUUAUACUCUUUCUGUUCUUAGUCUUUUCUGUUUCUUCUUUACUAAGGUUUUUUUCUGUUUCUUCUUACUUAGGUUUUUCUCUGUACUUUCUUUCUUAGUUUUUCUCCUUUUUUUCUCUAUUUUUUCUAUCUUCUAACCCUACUUUCUUCUCAACCCUACUUGGGGAGCUUUCUUCUGCUAUCGCUCAUCUCAACCCUACUUGGGGAGCUUUCUUUUCUUUCCUUUCUCUUUAUUCAUGGCACCCCCUAUUCCUUAGUCCACUCUUUCUUUCAUCUUGUUUUUCUGGCACCCCCAUCCUUAGUAACCACUCUAUUUAGGCUUUUUUUCUCUAUUUUUUAUGUUUUUCCAUUUUUUUAGGCUUUAUCCUUCUGUUUUUUAUAUUUUUCCAUUUUGUUAGGCUUUUUUU
ensembl:lncRNA